rnacentral:rRNA from 1 species
CAGAGCGAACGCUGGCGGCAGGCCUAACACAUGCAAGUCGAACGGACUCUUCGGAGUUAGUGGCGGACGGGUGAGUAACACGUGGGAACGUGCCUUUAGGUUCGGAAUAAGCUCGGGAAACUGGGUCUAAUACCGAAUGUGCCCUUCGGGGGAAAGAUUUAUCGCCUUUAGAGCGGCCCGCGUCUGAUUAGCUAGUUGGUGGUGUAAUGGACCACCAAGGCGACGAUCAGUAGCUGGUCUGAGAGGAUGACCAGCCACAUUGGGACUGAGACACGGCCCAAACUCCUACGGGAGGCAGCAGUGGGGAAUCUUGCGCAAUGGGCGAAAGCCUGACGCAGCCAUGCCGCGUGUAUGAUGAAGGUCUUAGGAUUGUAAAAUACUUUCACCGGUGAAGAUAAUGACUGUAGCCGGAGAAGAAGCCCCGGCUAACUUCGUGCCAGCAGCCGCGGUAAUACGAAGGGGGCUAGCGUUGCUCGGAAUUACUGGGCGUAAAGGGAGCGUAGGCGGACAUUUAAGUCAGGGGUGAAAUCCCAGAGCUCAACUCUGGAACUGCCUUUGAUACUGGGUGUCUUGAGUGUGAUAGAGGUAUGUGGAACUCCGAGUGUAGAGGUGAAAUUCGUAGAUAUUCGGAAGAACACCAGUGGCGAAGGCGACAUACUGGAUCAUUACUGACGCUGAGGCUCGAAAGCGUGGGGAGCAAACAGGAUUAGAUACCCUGGUAGUCCACGCCGUAAACGAUGAUUGCUAGUUGUCGGGGUGUUUACAUCUCGGUGACGCA